GUGGUGGUUAUCAAGUUUUACAUUGGUGCGUGGUCUCCGUCUAUCUCCGGCAGUCCUCGCUUGUUCAGGUAAAGAAAAGAACCUGCUCUAGUUCUUAGAGUUAGGAGUACGUGUGGAGCUUGGUUAGCUUCGUGGGUCUUCGGUGCUCUCUAGUUUCACAGAGAUGGCAUGCUUAGGUGUUUCUCCAUCCCAGUGUCAUGGCGGUCAGUUGAUUGCUCUGUCAGGUGAUCUCCUUUUCUUUUCAGUACAUGUUCUCUUCCACCUUUGUCAUGACUGCCUUCUUUGCAGCCCGGUUUUACGUGCUUAGUAGCCAGUAGUUGUAUAAGUGUGGGUGAGAGUGAGGUAGCUUUGGCUCCUCUCUGGAUUAACAACAAUCCGAAAGGUGAACAUAAUGUAAGGCCCGGAGUUGCUCUCGCGACUUGUCUGUGUUGUCUGACCAUUCUCCAGUUGAAUAUGUGUUGUCGUACCAUUUUACUUGAAUCCCUCUUGUCCACUGCUGUUUAUCCCCGUAU
rnacentral:lncRNA from 1 species